rnacentral:rRNA from 1 species
CAGGUGCUGCAUGGCUGUCGUCAGCUCGUGUCGUGAGAUGUUCGGUUAAGUCCGCUAACGAGCGCAACCCUCGCUGUGUGUUACAAGUGUCACACGGUACUGCCGGUCUUAAGCCGGAGGAAGGUGGGGAUGACGUCAAGUCAGCAUGGCCUUUAUGUCCUGGGCUACACACACGCUACAAUGGCCAACACAAUAGGUUGCUAAGCCGCGAGGUGGAGCCAAUCCUCAAAGUUGGUCUCAGUUCAGAUUGCAGGCUGCAACCCGCCUGCAUGAAGAUGGAGCUGCUAGUAACCGCAGGUCAGCUAUACUGCGGUGAAUACGUUCCCGGGGCUU